rnacentral:rRNA from 1 species
GACGAACGCUGGCGGCGUGCUUAACACAUGCAAGUCGAACGGAAAGGCCCCUUUGGGGGUCCUCGAGUGGCGAACGGGUGAGUAACACGUGAGUAACCUGCCCUUGACUUCGGGAUAACUUCAGGAAACUGGGGCUAAUACCGGAUAGGAAUCCUUGCUGCAUGGUGGGGGUUGGAAAGCUUCGGCGGUUUUGGAUGGACUCGCGGCUUAUCAGCUUGUUGGUGGGGUAGUGGCUUACCAAGGCUUUGACGGGUAGCCGGCCUGAGAGGGCGACCGGCCACAUUGGGACUGAGAUACGGCCAAGACUCCUACGGGAGGAAGCAGUGGGGAAUAUUGCACAAGGGGCGGAAGCCGGAUGCAGCAACGCCGCGUGCGGGAUGACGGCCUUCGGGUUGUAAACCGCUUUCAGCAGGGGCGAAGCUUGUGGUGACGGUACCUGCAGAAGAAGCACCGGCUAACUACGUG